rnacentral:misc_RNA from 1 species
AGAUCAGUCACAAAAAUCAAAGUAGAUUGUUUGAAAAAGACAAUGCCAGACUGGCGGUGGCCAAACCAAAAACUUGACCAAACGAGCAAUACUAUCAUUUGGAAUUCUUUUUUGAUGCGAGUUUUCAUGCAACUGAAUUUGUCGAAUUGAGCAUGUUGAAGAGCGGAAACCACGUUAAAAAAGCAUCAAACACUCAAAUAAUUAAUAACGCUUGAGAAAUUUCCCCAGUAGAGAUGGAAUGAAGAGUUGCCUUCCUCUUUUCCCCCUUUUCCCCACCUUAACUUUUAACCCUAGCCAUUCAUAAAUGACCGAAUUUUUUUGCACCCUGCAAUUUGCAUGGCAGACGAGCAAGAAGAUGAGCAUAUGCCUGAGUUGCACCUUUAUUAUCCUCUUUCUUCUUUUUUUUCUUUUUCUUUUUUUUUGUUUUUAUUUAUUCUUCCUACAGAUAUUUUGCCCUAAAUUUUUUUUUUUCAUAUUAUUGUGGGAAGCCCAUGUUUAAUUUUGACCCACUGAUUUAUGAGAGAAUUAGAAUAAUACAUAAUAAAUUUUCGAAUAAUUUGAUAAAAUUGAAAAUUAAAUAUCACAAAUACAGGAAUUGAAUUUUAAAUAUAUAAUAAGAUAAACAUUGAAAAUUUUAAAUUAUAAAAUUAUAUUUCAUGUGUUAAAAAUAGAGUUUUAAAAUCUAAUAAAUUAUUUUAAUAUUUAAUUCUUAUUUUAAAUUAAAAAUUUUAAUCUACACAAAAUAACUAUUUUGGCCUUAAACUAUUGUUUAAAUAUCAAAUAAGCCUUUCUAACUAUUUUUUCCAUCUAAAGAAACUCCAAAUUUUUAAAAGGACACAUAUAAAUACACAGCGUUAAAUUGAAAAAUUCAUCCCAUUCUGCAAUACUAGAGCACCAUGACGACCAAAAAAACCAACAAGAUGUAUGUAGAUCUUAUCUUAUGAAUGGAUUAUAACAAAACUUACCGAAGAUUUAUGCCUAUUAGGGCUCAAUUAGACUUUCCUCGCUGAAAUUUUUUGAUAGCUUCCAGGCAUGUGUGAGGGAGUUGUGUUAGUGUAGACGUGCUUUGCUGCCAUUGAUGGAGCUAGUGGAGUGGGCAUAUGAUAGCCUCGUGGCGCUUUGGUUGAACCGUGAAUGAAGCGGUGGGAAGGAGGGGGCGGCGGUUUAUCGAUUGAAGAGAUGAUGGUAGGUCCGUUGGGAAAAAAAGAU